GAUGAACGCUGGCGGCGUGCCUAAUACAUGCAAGUCGAACGGAAAGGCCCUGCUCUUGCGGGGCGCUCGUGUGGCGAACGGGUGAGUGACACGUGAGUAACACGCCCUUGUCUUAGGGAUAACUCUAGGAGACUGGGGCGAUUAUCGGAUAGGAGAUACUGCUGCAUGGUGGGGGUUGGAAAGAUUCGGCGGUUUGGGAUGGUUUCGCGGCUUAUCCGCUUGAUGGUGGGGUAGUGGCUUACAAAGGUUAUGACGGGUAGCCGGCCUUAGAGGGUGACCGGCCACAUUGGGACUGAGGGACGGCCCAGACUCCUACGGUAGGCAGCAGUGGGGAAUAUUGCACAAUGGGCGGGAGCCUGAGGCAGCAACGCCGCGUUCGGGAUGACGGCCUUCGGGUGGUAAACCACUUUCGCCUGUAACGAAGCGUGAGUGACGGUAACGGGUAAAGAAGCACCGGCUAACUACGUG
rnacentral:rRNA from 1 species